UUGGGUCUCACACAAGUCAUCAUCAACUAAGAUUUUCUCUCUAGAAGGGUCGUCACCAUCGCUGAAGAUUUCAGGUCAUAAUAUGGAAAACAAGACAUCAAGCUGGUCUGAUCAAUGGGGAACCGGUGUCUUUGACAAUGAAGAAAAAGAUUUGGAAAAGCCGAAUAAUAAGAGCAACAACAAGAAAAUGGAACAGAUGAAGGCAGCUGCAUCCACUGGAUUGGUGAAGGCCAAGUCUGCUGCUGUUGUUGGUGCUCACAAAGUGAAGAAAGGUACCUCUACUGGUGUUAAAUGGAUUAAGAACAAACUUUCUAAGUGAACCUAUUCUUGAUCCUAUAUUGCCUUUAUCUUGAAAUUACAUCAUUUUCCAGUUACAAUGGUUCUGUUGAGUGUACAUUGCAAAACACACAUGAAUGAUUAGUUAGUCCAAUUUUCUCA